rnacentral:rRNA from 1 species
CAGUAGCCGCGGUAAAACCAGCAGCCCAAGUGGUGGUCGCGUUUAUUGGGCCUAAAGCGCUCGUAGCCUGGCCGGUAAGUUCCCCGUGAAAUCGGGUCGCCCAACGAUUCGGCUUGCGGGGAAUACUGUCGGUCUUGGGGCCGGGAGACGCCGAGGGUACUCCGGGGGUAGCGGUGAAAUGCUGUAAUCCUCGGGGGACUACCAGUGGCGAAGGCGCUCGGCGAUAACGGGCCUGACGGUGAGGGGCGAAAGCUGGGGGCGCGAACGGGAUUAGAUACCCCUGUAGUCCCUGUCUCUUAUU